AUGCAGCCAUGCCGCGUGUGUGAAGAAGGCCUUCGGGUUGUAAAGCACUUUCAGUCGUGAGGAAGGUCGUGUAGUUAAUAGCUGCAUUAUUUGACGUUAGCGACAGAAGAAGCACCGGCUAACUCCGUGCCAGCAGCCGCGGUAAUACGGAGGGUGCGAGCGUUAAUCGGAAUUACUGGGCGUAAAGCGCAUGCAGGUGGUUUGUUAAGUCAGAUGUGAAAGCCCGGGGCUCAACCUCGGAAUAGCAUUUGAAACUGGCAGACUAGAGUACUGUAGAGGGGGGUAGAAUUUCAGGUGUAGCGGUGAAAUGCGUAGAGAUCUGAAGGAAUACCGGUGGCGAAGGCGGCCCCCUGGACAGAUACUGACACUCAGAUGCGAAAGCGUGGGGAGCAAACAGGAUUAGAUACCCUGGUAGUCCACGCCGUAAACGAUGUCUACUUGGAGGUUGUGGCCUUGAGCCGUGGCUUUCGGAGCUAACGCGUUAAGUAGACCGCC
rnacentral:rRNA from 1 species